rnacentral:tRNA from 1 species
GGAAGUAAUAGUUUAAUUUUGGAAAAAUGUCCGAUCGCUAAUCGGGAGAUUUAGGUUCGAAUCCUAAUAGCUUCCA